CUCUCCCUCCCUCCCCGCUGCCUUCAUUAAAAUUUUCCCAAAACCCCAUCCCCGCACCACAAUCUUCCCUGCUUUGUGUUCGUGGAGCAUCUCUUCCCACUACAUUCAUCAAAUUUUCCCCCAAACCCUUUCCCCACACCAUAAUCCUCCCCUGCUUCGUGUUCGUGGAGUGUCUUCCCCUGCUUGGGCUAAGCGUCGAGGUCGAGGCGGCGAGGUCGAGACGACAAGGUCGAGAUGACAAGGUCGAGACGGCAAGGUUGAGGCGACGAGGCGUCGAGGACUCUGCUGAAGGCGAUUUUUAUCACUUCCGUCUCCAACCCCUCAAAUUCAAAUACUCCCUGAUAUGUUCAUGUUAUCUCUUCAAUAUGUUCUUUUGGUAUGCAGUAUAAGGUUUGAACCUGUAAGUUUGUGUAAAAUACUUCAAUCCAACCACUAGGUCAAACUAGUGGGCCUCACAUUCACAAUCUAAAGGAACAGGAGGAGUACGCAGUGUGGAAGAUGGCGGAUUGUUUCGUCGUGGCUAAGGAGAAAUGUGUUGGCUUCUCCAGGGAGAAUUGGUUCCCUUUAGGGAUGCGAGGAUUAAGGUUGCGAAAGGGGUUUUGAGUUCCAAGGGUGUUGGGAAGCUGAUUGGUUGGGGAUCGGUGCUUGUGAGUGGGAGGAACAUGUGGUUGAUGAAUCAAAUGGGUCUGAUUGGUGGUGAUUUCGGAAAAAAAUGUUUCUAUCAGAGCAUUCUAGCAAGGUUCAUCAACAAAUACCAAUAUACGAUGAAGUUGAAACGAUAUAUUCAUGAUCCACUACUUUCUCAGCAGGUUAGACUUGCAACUUCUAGCACCAUUAUUGGAAGCUUUGCCUGAUUCACUCUCUCCUGGUUUGCGUGACAUUCUCAAAUUGACAGAAGGAAAAUAAAGACCACAAGGAACAACAGUGACAUAGCAGGAAGUGAUCGAGAGAGGAAUAAUAUUGGAAAAUCAUUUCAGAAUCUGUCUUGGUUUUUUGGUACACUUUUGCCCCUGGAAUGUUACAGAAGAAGGUUCUAGAUAUUCGUACUAAGAUGUAUAUCAUAUUGGAGUUUAUUAUAGGCGGUGAAUUGUUUGAUAAAAUUGUAAGCUUUCUUCAUGUCUCAACGAAGCUGACUGUAGAAGAUACUUCCAACAACUUAUUGAUGUGUAAAUUAUUACCAUAGUAAAGGUGUUUAUCAUAGAGAUUUAAAGCCUGAAAAUCUUUUACUUGAUUCACAAGGAAAUAUUAAAAUUUCAGAUUUUGGUUUGAGUGCAUUUCCAGAACAGGAACUGUUUGACUUGAGAAUGCAUCCAAUUCGUCAUCUCUCGAGUGUUUUAAUGGUGAUUCUGAGUCCAAUGAAGAAGGUCAGUCUUUGUCUAAUAGCAGGAUGAAUGAGGAAGAUGAUGAUGCCACUAAAGAAUUGCAGCCUGCUGAUCCUAACGAACCAGGUGUUUAGAGUACCAUUUAACCAUUUAAAGACACAUGAUGGAAAUGAAAUUAGGGAACUUAGGUGAGAAAAAAGUAGAAAUUACUAUUGAAAAAAGAGAGAAUUCAUCUCAAAGUUGCUUACUUGGCUGGUUGAUUUUGAUGUUUAGCUUGGUCAAUCAGUUCUAGUGUUAUGAGUUGAUUUUUAUUUAUCAGAAUUUUAGUUAUCUUUAUUUUGAUAAACUUUUUGGACGUUGAAUCACAAUGUAACUAACAUUAUUUUCUCAAUUUUGGUGAUUGUUUUAUAGGCUGGUUUGUCCCUGAUA